GCUCUCCCUCAGACACACUGGAGGGAAAGGUCAAACUAAAGGCGAGGGAGCAGAGAGACCGGAGGGAGCCGCUGCCGCCGCCGCGCGCCAUGACGGACGCGGCGGAGGCUGCUUUCUCAGUGCGGACGCCGCCGAUCCCCAGCUCUCGCCGCGCCCCCUGCCCCCCGCCCCUCGCGCGCCCCUCACCCUGGCGCUGGCGCGUCCCCGCGCCCUCUCCCCCGGCCGCUCCAGGCGCGCCUCGGGCUCGGGGCGCGGGGCGCUGGGAGCGGGAGGGUGGGGGCCGCGGCGGGCCGGCGGCCUCCUCGCCCGACCCCCGACCCCGGGCCAGGUGAGUGCCUUGGGGCGGGAGAGGGCGUCCGGAGCGGAGAGGACACCGGGCGCUCAGCCCCCCGCCUGACCCCCUUCCGGGGCGCUGACAGGCUCUCGGGACACGGCCUCUGGGGGGCGUCGUGGGGUCACUUGUGUCGGGGGGUGCUUUUUUGGCGCCCCCGUCCCUCAGGGUCGGGCGUCCGAGUCGUGGGGGGCUCGGGGCCGGGAAGUGGGCGCUGCGGUGCGGCCCUGGAGUGCAGCCGCGGCGACAGGGUAUGGGGCGGGCGGCGGGAGGCAGGUGGGCCCCUCCCCGGGGCUCGUGAAGUGGGGGGACCGGGCGUGGGGGCCGCGGGAAGCUUUCGGGAAAUGUUUAUCCGGCAGUUGCAAGAAACUCUGCCCUCGGGACGAGGCGCCUUGCUUUUUGCCGGGGCCAGCGAAAGUGGCGGAUUUCACAGCAAAACUCGGGUGAAGCCAGGCUGGACCGGCCGGGAGUGAGAGAGGCCGGGAGCACCCGUCUGGAUGGGGACCAGAGAUGAACGAAUCCGCCUGGAACUGUAGAAUUGGACAAAUCAACACUUAGCAUGUCCCCCUCCUGUAGGUCUUGUUGACCUUGGUGGCAUCGUGGAGGUCAUAUGUUCAUGGAGAUAAACAGUUCUUGAACGGUUUACUCCAGGUGGUAAAAACACAUGGGAAAGUGAUUUGGGCUGUGCGUAUCUUGGUUUUUUAAAAAAUCAUUUUUAUCGAGCGUUUAUUGUGAUCAUGGCCAAAAAUAAAAUAAUUCUUUGACUUUUUUUGAAAUACUAUACACACAUUUCUAUAUUACAUUUUUAAGAAUUGCUUAUUUUUCAAUUUUUCUAGUAUUUCUUGUAUAUUCUACCACAGGUGAACAACUCAUUUUUUGGGUGACAUUUUUAGAGCUUGCUUGAGGGGCACUAGAAAGAAGGGCAGUAAUGUGAUGUGAAUGUUUCAGCUUAUGAAAACAGCUGUGCUCUACUUUAAGAAAUUUGACAUUUAAAAGUGUAAGAUUGCAAAACAAAUUAAUUACUAGUUGGUUAUAUUAUGUGAGAAUUUUAAAAAAGGGAUUCACUAAAAGUUGUUUUCAAAUACUUAAUCCCUUUAAAUGGUAUUUAUCUAAUGUGAUUUGAUUUGUGAAUAAUCAGUUGGCAUACAACAAUUUAGGAACAGAUUUUUGGCAUAUGUAAGGGUUAUCAGUGUGUUCUUUGAGUUCUCUCUUUACCAAAAGUAUUUGGGGACAAAGUUAAAUUCAGUGUUGUUCCACUUAUAUGCCACCUAUAAUGGUUUAACUGAGUGGGAAAAUUGUCAUCUGAUUUAUCCCAUAUCAUUUAAGGCAGCGGUGUCCAAUCUUUUGGCCUCCCCGGGCCACGUUGGAAGAAGAAGAAUUGUCUUGGGCCACACAUCAAAUGCAUUAACAAUAACUAAUGAGCUUAAAAAAUUGCAACAAAAAUUUCAUAUUUUUAGAAAGUUUACACAUUUGUGUUGGGCCUCAUUCAAAGCUGUCCUGGGCCAUGGGUUGGACAAGCCUGAUUUAAGGAGUACAUUGAAGCCUAAUUAAAAUGCUUUUCACCAUUGAGUAAAACUUUAUGAUCAGGUUUGUCAGGAACCUCAUCCAAGGUAGUUUAGUUAGUGGAGUAUCAAAAGCACCUUGUUGUCAGACACUCUCACUAGGACAGUGGUCCCCCAGCAGAGGCCAACAAGCAGUUAUACCCAAACUUCAGCAAAAUCAAAAUAAGUAGAUUUGGUCUAAAGUCCACAAGCAGUAAAAACCGUUACCUUGAAAUUUUCUGUAGGUGCAAAUUAUUCUUCAGAAUUAAAGGCUUGAUUUUCCUAAGCUGUAAUUCUGUUUGAGUCACUUGUGAAAAAUGCUAUUUUGGUAAAAGAACAACUAUGUAUUCUUUCAAAGGAGUUUUUUCCCUUUGUGUUAAUGCAUUUGCGUUUAUUUGGAAUUGCAGGAGAUGAUGAAUGAAGUACUUGGGAAGUUUAAUUCAGAAAUCAUUUUGCUUUGCUUAUGUAGAAAAAAAAGGAAUGUGAGUUAAUAGGAGAACUUAUUUGUGGGUUAGUUCGUACUUCAUGUGGGGAUAAGGAGGAAAGGGAGGAAGUAGCUGCAAACUUUAUUAAGGAUAACUAAUCAAGUUUCAUUUGAUUUAUACUGUUCAUGCCUGGCUUGGGUAACAGUGACGCCUUCACCUUUUCCUAGUUUUCGAGAAAUUUUAUUCUUAGAGAAGGGGUUUGAAGGAUAAGAGCUAAGCAUCAGGGCAUACAAGAAGUAAAAAAUAUCUUCAGAAUGCUUAAUAGUAUUUUGUUUUGUUUUUAUACAUUAGAAAGCAAGAAAUUAUUUUAAUACUGAAUAUGGGUCAAAAGCCCAACUUCGGGAUACUGGGCACGGUUUCAUACCUCUUAGCAUAAUUGAAUAUUAUAAAAAUGGAAGGAACAGCUUGAAUGGUGCCAUUGAUUUUUUUAGUACAGGCUCUUAGUUCCUCAAUUGAACAAAUGAGUAAAAAUGAAGAUUAAAGAAGAGAUGAUAUUAAAAGAAGUGUUUUCCAUUUUUUAAAAAAUCCCAAGGGACUGUCUCAAAUGACUGUUAAUUUCAGAACAUAGAUUAAAAAGUACAUUACAUUGGAUUUAUGAUUAAUGAGGACACAAUUACAAUUUUUAAAAAAUACAUGUAAAAAAGGUGAGUAUACUACUGCAGUUUACAAAUAUUUGUGCCAAGAUACGUGAGGCUAGUGGUAAUGAUUAGAAAUUAUAAUUGGAAGUGAAGACUGAUUUAUGUUCUCAAUUUCAUUAUUUAAGCCAAUGUCACUUUUAAAAUGUCACUUAAUUUUUCUAUUCCCAAUGUUCUUUUCAAUAAAAUGCAGU
rnacentral:lncRNA from 1 species